GCAGUCACUGAGAACAGUCCCCCCCACCCCAACCAACUUCCCGUUCUGACACACACUUCCUCUUUGUGUGUGUUGAAAAGUACAUCAAACUGAGGGAAAGUCAUGCAUUAAACUUUGAUUAGUUAAUAAAGCAGCAAAAUGAACAGAAAGAAUGAAACAAACUCCUGAGGUGGAAAUAAAUAAACGCUGCUAGGAGACGAGAUGAAGGAGGAGCGCUCGUUUUGUUCCAGCUCCGACCUCAUCAACACUGAUUUCAGUGCAAUGCAUCAUGGAACACUACAGGUGUGUGUGUGUGUGUGUGUGUGUGUGUGUGUGUGUGUGUGUGUGUGUGUGUGUGUGUGUGUGUGUGUGUGUGUGUGUGUAUUUAAUGGAAACAUGCUGCACGGUUAGCGCUCCAGCAGCGAGAAGGGGUGGGGGGGAAGGGUGCCAUGUUGCAUGGUGGGUAAUGUGUUAGUCUCUCUAGCUGGUGUCCAUGGACUCCAUGUUGGCGGAGCUGGAGUCCCUCUGGAUGGAGUCAAAGAUGGCCGCCAGCUCCUGAUUGGACGAGAUCUGCGACUGGAACUCCGACAUCAGCGGCGACUUCUCGGCCUCAGGAAUCGUCAGCAGCGCUACAACAGCUCGCAUCGCCGAGCGUUUCAGCUCAUCCUGCUUCUCGAACUCCUGCUUCACCGAGUUGGCCUUCACCUGCGGAGAAGAGCUCGUUAAGAGGGGGCUUUACGCAUGUGUGUGUGUACCUGUGUGUGUGUGUGUGUGUGUACCUUGGUGGUGCAGGUGGCUCUCAGAGGCUCCACCAGUCGGUCCAGUCUCUGCAGGACGGCGCUCGGACACAGGGAGGAGAGGCGGGCCAGCAUCAGGAACGUCAGCAUCUGGAACACAACAAGCAACAACAACACAUGUUAUUUUUACCCCUUUCUACCAGCUCUGUUAUAUGACUGUUAUAUGAUAGUACUCAUAUUAGUACUGUAUGAUAGUACUCAUAUGAGUACUGUAUGAUAGUACUCAUAUUAGUACUGUAUGAUAGUACUCAUAUUAGUACUGUAUGAUGGGGUAGUGACCUUGAUGUCGUAGUGGUCCUUCAGACCGUCCUCCACGUGGUUGAGGAAGGUGAAGAUAUCGAGGCGGUCAAGGCAGCUGUCCAGCAGAGUGUACAUGCACUCGAACGCAGCCUUCCUGAGAUCCAGCCCAUCAUCCACUGUGUGUUUGAAGGGCCCCAUCUCCACCUGAACACACACACACACACACCUUUUAACACUACUGACUCUUAGUAGUCAUACAAACUUUUUUAAUUUUUGUAAUCGUUGAAGUUAUUCAAUAUUUUCAGAUAUUUUUAAAGAUAUGGUAUUCAUAUAUUUUGCACAUAUUAAUCUGACAUGUGUUGCCUUCUUCUGUCCCAUUUUAAUACUCAUUUUUGACUAGAAACCUAUUCAUAUCUUUCACAGAAUUCUUUGGACAUUUUGUUUUACUUUUACUUCAUAUUCUUUUUGACAUUUUGCAAAUAUUUCUGAGACGGUUUUCUUUCAAACUUCAAUUCAUAAACUUAACAUAUUAUUUUAGACAAUUUAAAUAUAUUAUCUGCACAUUUUUCUGCCUUUUUCAUUUAAACAUAUUUUGGGACAAGUUUUUAGACUUCCUUCCUAAAGGCUCUCAGUGUAUAAUCCGUCCCUCCUCACCUCUCUGAUGAGCUCCUUCCGGACUUUGGUCUCGUUGUAAAGCUGCGGCAGCACCGAGUCCAGCAGCUCUCGGAUCAGACUCGGCUUGUUGUGCGCCGCCGAGUUAAACGUUACCAAGGCGACGCGCCGCACGUUCAGGUCCGGGUCCUCCAGCGUCUUCAGGAAGUCCCCUGAGAACAAUCAGAUGUCUCAUAUUUAUAUUAAACAAGGAUUCAGAGUCAUGCAGAAGAGAAGACAUCAUGAAGGAGGACUGCAGGUGUACCUAUGCAGUUCUUCAGCAGCGGGUCGAUGGGCUGCGGUUGGUCUGAGAUGGUGAAUUUUACCGCCGUCACCACCGAGCUGCGGGCGUACGAUGAACCUGAGCAGACACAUGGUUAUUAUAAUAAACAACCAUGUCAAAUAAAAGGUAAAUAAGGCUCAGUGGGGCGGGGGUCGUCUCACCUGAGAGCAGGUAUCCCUUGAGGCGCGGCAGCAGCGUCUCCGGGUCGAUCAGCGUCAGCUUCCCCAGACACUCGGCCACCACGUUCCUGGUUCCCUCCUCCGAACACUCGCAGUGCUUCAGCAGCAGCGUCCACACGGCCUCCACGUACGGCUUCAGCCCCGACACCGACGCAGAGCCUGCAGAGAAUAUACACUUAGUGACGUUUAGUUUUAUGGUAACCCUCUUUUAGUUUAUGCUGUAUUUUUGUAACAGUUCCUUCAAACAGGGAAUGGGAAUGAGUCAUCUUCAAAAGCAGGUCGGCCAUCUUUGGAGGAUACCAGCAGACGCAACCCUCACAUGGAAAGUUUACGAGCUCUGAUAUUGCUAUAUUGCUUUUUUUACAGAUUUUAUUAAGAGUUUUUACGAGUAUUUUAACUAAUUUAAAAAAAUGUUCUAUUUGUUUUUUAUCUAGUGUGUAUCAACAGAGUGUGUGUAUAUUGAUAGUGUGUGUCCUCACUGAUGAUCUCUUUGAGGGAGUGCAGCAGCAGGUAUUGUCUCUUAGAGGAAGUGAUCUCCUGCAGGACGAAGGGCAGAUACUCCGGAAGAUUCCCCACCGCAAUGCUGCCCAGCGCGUACGACGCCGCAGACUUCACCUGAAACACACACACACACACACACACGGGUUAACACACACCGGCAUGCUGCUAGCCGUAGCAGGCAGCCUAUUGUCACUUCCUGUCACCUCUUCGCUGGAGGAGGAGAAGGCGUCCAGGAUGACGGUCUUGAGCUCUGGUUGGCUGCUGAGGUCCACAUGAUGUCCCACCUCGCCCAAUGAGAGCAGAGCGAGCAGCCGGAUGGAGUCCGUGGAGCGACUGUUCUUCACGUCCUGAAGAAACAGAGAGAUAUAUCAAUAACAAAUUAUUACUUUCAUUAUUUUAUAUUUAGCAUUUUUGUAAUUAGUGUUUUUUUUUUUACUAGAUUUUACAAAUGACAGAAUAUUUAGUAUGAAUAUUCAAUGCCUUCUCAAUUAUAUUAUAUGUAAACACAGGUGUGUUUGUGUACCUGUAUGAACUGCCCCACCACAGCCGGCCCCUCGUCAGGACAGGCUCGGGUCAGAGCGGCGACACACUUGGCGAUGGAGCAGUACGCCUGCUUGUGAGGCAGUGCGGCACUCUGGGAGUAAACCGGACCCGUCAGCAUCCUCAGGAGGUCCAUGUAGCCGAGGCCGGGGGUCUCUGUGGACACCAGCGCCUACACACACACACACACACACACACACACACACACACACACACACAUUAUAUCCCAACAGCUGUGAUAAUGAUUUCUGAAGGAAAUCCUAAAUGAAUACGUAAAAGUACGUUUAGUAUUUCUAAACAAAAAGGUGAUUUUUGGAAGUUCUAAAUAAAUAGAGAAAAAACAGAAAAGAGGAAAUUAUUAUUAAAAUAUAAAAGGUAAUCUAAAGAAUAUAAUAAAAAGAUAGGAAUAUUAUUUAUAAAUUAAAAAGUAUAUAGCAUAUUUACUUUGCCAAACAGAGAAAUAAAUCAAAAAUAAUUAUUAUAAAAAGAAAUAAAGGAUUUAAGGUUAGGGUUAGGGUUACCUGGUAGAAUUCGAGCAUGGCGGACAGCGCCCCCCCCCUGCAGCAGCGGGGACCUGACCAGAGCGAUGAGCUGCUGCAGGAUGUUCCCCCCGGUCAGCUGACCCAGGGAGGAGGGGUGGGUGACGGCGAGCGUCGAUAGGAAGCUGAGCGCCAUCUGAGACACGUGCAUGUCGCUCUCUGAGAUGAGGGGGGGCAGCUCGGCCAGCACCGCGUCCACCAUCACCGGGGUCACCGCCGAGCUGAAGGGGGGUGGAUAUAUAAAGUCAGCUUUUUAAAAUAUUUUACAGAAGUAUUUCUUUUUACUUUUGAAUAAUAAUUUGUUCUUUUUAACUUUUUGUUUUGUUUUUCUGGAGAUUGUUUCCUACGUGCUCCACUGGGUAUGUUGCAUCUGUAAACAUUUACUAGUUGGGAAAUAUAAAACAUUGAUUUGGUAUUUUUUUAUAUUUCCUUCUUAUCA